GUGGGGAAUCUUGCGCAAUGGGCGAAAGCCUGACGCAGCCAUGCCGCGUGAAUGAUGAAGGUCUUAGGAUUGUAAAAUUCUUUCACCGGGGACGAUAAUGACGGUACCCGGAGAAGAAGCCCCGGCUAACUUCGUGCCAGCAGCCGCGGUAAUACGAAGGGGGCUAGCGUUGCUCGGAAUUACUGGGCGUAAAGGGCGCGUAGGCGGACAGUUUAGUCAGAGGUGAAAGCCCAGGGCUCAACCUUGGAAUUGCCUUUGAUACUGGCUGUCUUGAGUCCGGGAGAGGUGAGUGGAACUCCGAGUGUAGAGGUGAAAUUCGUAGAUAUUCGGAAGAACACCAGUGGCGAAGGCGACUCACUGGCCCGUUACUGACGCUGAGGCGCGAAAGCGUGGGGAGCAAACAGGAUUAGAAACCCGGGUAGUCC
rnacentral:rRNA from 1 species